CUAGAAGGAGCUGAGAAAGGAACUGGCACGUGUAGGUGUGUUUUUCCAAGCUGGACUCGCUCAUAGUCCAUUGGUUGACUGAUUCUUCAGUGGAAUGUUGAAGGCAGGUCGGUCGCAGAUCUCUCAUCCUUCAGCAGAAUCAGAAUAUAAGGCAUACAAAAGUGCACAAUAAAGAAUGUGAAUGUUGGGACUGGCGAAGAAUGGGGAGCACCGAUGUGAUCAGUGAAUUACAGAAUGGCUUAGGGGAAAUGAGAGUCCUGUCCAGUGGAAUGAGGUAAAUUCACAACUGGAUAUGGUGAGACAGGUGAGAACCAAGACAACUGGGAGCAAAAACUGGAAU
rnacentral:lncRNA from 1 species